GGAAACUGGCUCUGUUCGCUUUUCCUUCUGUGGGAGCUUUGUUCUUUUGUGUUUUGCAAUAAAUUUUGCUACUGCUCACUUUCUGGGUUCACACUGCGUUUGUGAGCUAUAACACUCACUGUAAAGGUCUGCAGCUUCACUCCUGAAGCCAAGGAGACCACUAACCCACCGGGAGGAAAGAACAACUCCGGACCCACCGCUUUAAGAGUUGUAGCACUCACCGCGAAGGUCUGCAGCUUCACUCCUGAGCCAGCGAGACCAUGAUCCCACCAGAAGAAAGAAACUCUGAACACAUCUGAACAUCAGAAGGAACAAACUCCGGACACGCCGCCUGUAAGAACUGUAACACUCACUGCGAGGGUCCGCGGCUUCAUUCUUGAAGUUAGUGAGACCAAGAACCCACCAAGUCCGGACACAGCUUCAUAAGAGAAUCUCACUCUGUUGCCCAGGCUGGAGUACAGUGGCGCAAUCUCGGCUCACUGCAACCUCUGCCUCCCAGGUUCAAGAGAUUCUCCUGCCUCAGCCUCCCAAGUAGCUGGGAUUACAGAUAGUGCCCUCCCUCUGGGAAGCUGCUGACAAAGUCCGACAAUAUGGCUCAAAUAAGAAUCCAGAGGGCAUGGAUAGUUGAAGUGGACGCUCUCUCAUGCAUUAAAGAGAAGAGAAACAACCAGAUGACUUGUUAACUAAAGGGGAGGGUGAUACUUAAAUUAAGAAAGCUGAGCUGCAUGAAUUGAUUUAUUCAUUCAACUGAUAUUUAUUGAAUACCUACUAUAUGCCAGGCACUGUUCUAGCCCUCAAGGAUGCAGAAGUGAGCAAGACAGGGGAAGAAAAGCUCCUGACAUAUGGAGCUUACAUCCUAGUUGGGAGAGACAGGCACACACAAGCAAAACGAAUGUUCACCGGUGACAGUGGCAGCUUGGGCAGCAGCAGUUCUCCCUAUGACAUCUCUUUUGCCUCCAAAAGCUUCACCCAUGGAGAAGACACAAGCAAUUUUCAACCGAUGAUCAAUGCUCUUACCAAAUGGCUGUUUCCCAGCAUAGAGUCCACCCCACCAGGGCUCUGAAGGCAUCCUCCUACACAUAAACAUCAUUCUUCCCUCCCUCUCUUUCCUCGUGCCUCAUCAGAAUUGUUUGCAAACUUGUUUCUAGACCCUCUGAUGAAGUUGAGAGAAACUGAGGCAAAAUCCCCCAUCACUAACCUUUUCAAGGAUCCCUUAAAAAGUGAGGAGCAGAAACAGGAAGACUUUUGGGAUUAAGGUAUUUCUUUCCCAACUGGCAUUUUGAAGUUUGUGAAAUGUUUAGUAUAUUCAAAGCUAUCAGAAAAGGCAUUCAGAAAGAGGGGCUCUGGUUUUGUGUUUCUGGAAAUUGACCUGAGAAAUGUGAAGGGGUGAUAUAUGGGAGAGGAUACUCAGUGUUAAGACUGGGAUGCCAAUGGUUAGAAGUGACAGUGACAGAAAGGCAGAGUCCAGUUCAAUUUGAGAAAGAACUCCCUGGCUGUCAGAGCAGUCGAAUAAUGGAAUGCAGAGCUCAAACAUGGCUAAUGGCCGCUUGAGGGAUUGUUAGACAGCAGUGAAGCUUCUGAAGGAGGAAUUAACUAAGUGACCUUUAUGGUCUCUUGCAACCCUGAGGAGGCUAUGAUUUAACUAAGCAUUCCAGGAAAUUGUAGUAUACUCAAGUUGAAUGUGAUAUACUUGAAACUUCAUGUGCCAAACAAUGUAGUAUUAACAUGUUAAGAAACUGACAGAAACAACAGUAGUGGGAAACUUUACCACAUUUCUUUUUCUAUAAAAGCAAAUGAGAACAUAACUAUAAUUGAGAAAAUUUCUAUACAUUCUUAAAGGUUGAAAUACAACAGACUACAUCUUCUGUCCACAAUGUAAUAAACCCAGACAUAAAUAAGAAAAACUAAACAGUAGUGGAUACCUUUUCAUGUGUCCAAUCUGUUCACAAUAACGAAUCCCUGUCCCUUCUCUUCCAUAACUCCUCCCACAUUUUGGUUUUCAGCAACAACUUAGUACAAUAUGAUCCCACUUCC